GCCGCUACAACUUCAUAAAGCCCAGUAUCGGGCCAUCUGGUUUUCUCCCCCAAAGCCGAACUCCGUUUCCGUUGAUUUUCACCUCCUCUCUCUCGUCGAGCUUCAAACUCAAACAUGGCUGAAUCAACCCACAACGGAACAACCAAUGGAGCAGCAGCGGAAGCGGAAACGGAAGAAGAAGAUUAUUUGGGGGACCUCUCUCGCUUCCUCCCUCUAGAAAACUCCAGCUCUGUGAACCCUUUAUCCAAAAAGAUCUCCAUCAAUAGAACCCAACCUGUUCAAUCCUCCAAGAAGCAAUCCAAAACCCUAAACUGGCAAGAACGGCGUAGACUCGAAAGAGAAAAAAAGCAACAAGAAGAGGAUGAGCGGACCUUAGCAAAUGUGGAGGCCCCAAUCCCACAAUCCAACAUCGGAUUCAAGCUUCUGAAGCAAAUGGGCUACACUCCUGGUUCAGCACUAGGUAAGGAAAAGUCAGGCAGGGCUGAACCAGUGGGGUUUGAGAUUCGGCGAUCACGAGCUGGGAUUGGCCUAGAGGACCCCCACAAAGAAAAGAGAAAAAAUGAGGAGAUUGUGACUGAGAAGAAAAGGAGAAAGGAAGAGGUUUUGAUGGUGGAGUUUGGAUGUAGGCAGAAGUUACAGUGGAGGACUCGAAAAGUCAUAGUUAAUUUCAAAAAAGCAAAGGCUGCUCUUGAUCAAUUGGAGAAUAAGGAAGUUGUGGAGCCUAAGAAGAAUGAGGAUGAGGAGGAGGGUGAACACGAGGAAGACGAAGAGGAGGAGAUAACGGAAGAGGACUUGCUGGAUAUAUUGAUGAAACUGAGAGAUGAACAUCAGUACUGCCUUUUCUGUGGAUGUCGGUACGAAUCAAUGGAGUCUCUGUUGGCCAACUGCCCUGGAACUGAUGAAGACGACCACUGAACUAGGAGUUCCUAGCUCACUUCCCCUACGCCACGAUGAGAUCAGUGGAAACAAGGUUUCCAAGAUGCAAUGUUAUCCAUGGUUGUCAUCAAGGAUGAGAUCUGCAGUGGAAACAAGAUUUUCAAGGGGGAUUUUAUCCAAGGUUGUCAUCAAGGAUUAGAUCUGGCAUACCGUUGAAAAUUCUUCCACCAUUCUAUCAUUUAAAGGAUAGAGAACCAUAGAUGAUUGAAGUCCUUGCCGAUAACAAAUGAUAUUCCCCCGGUUCUCUACUGCAUAUUGGAAUGCACUGAUCUACGGGACACUGUCUCACAUCACUAUAAUGUUGUUCAUAGAGAUUCCAGGGUCCAUCAGUCUGAAAAUUUUUCUGCCGGUUAAUAUACCUCACCUACAGCGGUGAAUAAGUUGUGCAAAUAGGCCACCGGACUUACUUCAAAUGCUGGUCUGGAUUUGAGCUCUUCUGCAUUCCCAAUUGAACGAGAUGUCAAACAGGUUUCUAAUAUAACUGUCUAUUUCAUGUAGCUUUCAAAUGAAACCAAUAUAGGCGUUUUAAGUCCCAAAACACUUGUUCCAAAAAGUAAAUUCUUCAGCAUU